CGGGAGUGACCUUAAUCAGAUCACAGAAAUAAGUAUGCAGAACAUGAUAGAGGAAGAGAAAACGGUCAGCAGUUGCUAAAUAUAUUGACUCACUAUCGUGCGCACUGCAGCCUGCAUCUGGGGUCAACUGAGCACAUAUGGAAGUUUCUCUCUGAUAUGAACAGUGAUGACUGCAGACAUCAUAAGCACCAGAGAUACAGAGAACAGCACUGUCUUCAGCAGACACAAAGACACACCAGCUGAGGGGGACACUGCUGCACCUAAAACAAAGUUACAAAAACAUCUUCUUGCUACAAAGCCUCCAGCUGACUGGGUUGCUAUGGUUACAGAUGACGGAGUCCUCAGUAAAAUGCAGGAUGAGAGUGGAGAUUCCAAAGGAUGUCACGUCCUCUUGACAGCAUGUGCUGAUUUUGUAGCUGGUGCUGAGGCUGAGGUCAUGACUUCUACAUGUGGCCUUCACAGUACACGAGUCACUGGACCAGUCAGAGAAAAUAUUCAGGACAGGAGCUUCAACUGCAUCUGAAACACACACAUACAAAACUCGCCUCCAUGACAGAUGAAAGGACGUUGUAGAUCACAGCUGUCAGGAACCCAUCUCCCAGAAUCAGCUGUCGACAUGCCAACACAGUCUGAACCCUGGGAUGGUUGUUCUGCUGCCCAGUAUCUAAAGAAG